ACCAGGAUGGCUGAGUGGUGAAGGCGUUGGACUUAGGAUCCAAUGGACAGGGGUCCCUGUGGGUUCAAACCCCACUCCUGGUG